rnacentral:rRNA from 1 species
UACGUAGGUGGCAAGCGUUGUCCGGAUUUAUUGGGUUUAAAGGGUGCGUAGGCGGUCCUAUAAGUCAGUGCUGAAAUAUCCCGGCUUAACCGGGAGGGUGGCAUUGAUACUGAUGGACUUGAGUAAAGUUGAGGUUGGCGGAAUUGACGGUGUAGCGGUGAAAUGCUUAGAUAUCGUCAAGAACACCUAUUGCGAAGGCAGCUAACUAAGCUUAAACUGACGCUGAGGCACGAAAGUGUGGGGAUCAAACAGG